UACGUAGGGUGCGAGCGUUGUCCGGAAUUAUUGGGCGUAAAGAGCUUGUAGGCGGUCUGUCGCGUCGUGCCUGUGAAAAUCCGGGGCUCAACCCCGGACUUGCAGUGGGUACGGGCAGACUAGAGUGUGGUAGGGGAGACUGGAAUUCCUGGUGUAGCGGUGAAAUGCGCAGAUAGUCGGGAGGAACACCGAUGGCGAAGGCGGGUCUCUGGGCCGUAACUGACGCUGAGGAGCGAAAGCGUGGGGAGCGAACAGG
rnacentral:rRNA from 1 species